rnacentral:rRNA from 1 species
UCUUUUCCUUUUUUUCCUGCCGCCGCGGUAAUACGUAGGGGGCAAGCGUUAUCCGGAUUUACUGGGUGUAAAGGGAGCGUAGACGGCAUGGCAAGCCAGAUGUGAAAGCCCGGGGCUCAACCCCGGGACUGCAUUUGGAACUGUCAGGCUAGAGUGUCGGAGAGGAAAGCGGAAUUCCUAGUGUAGCGGUGAAAUGCGUAGAUAUUAGGAGGAACACCAGUGGCGAAGGCGGCUUUCUGGACGAUGACUGACGUUGAGGCUCGAAAGCGUGGGGAGCAAACAGG